UCUCGGGUAGCCUUCAGCAGAGCUUGUACCGGUACAAGGUUGAUGGCUGUACUGGUACAAGGCUGGUGAUUGUACCGGCACAGGGUGCUUGUACCGGUACAGGGCCGGUUACCCCGCCAACCCGAGCCUCGGGUUGUGAUUUUCGUGGGGCUUGUACCGGUACAAGGGCCCGUGUACCGGUACAAGGAGGCUGAUUUCGUGCAGUUUGAACUACAGGGGUGUUUUUGCAAUUGUGGACCUCUUAUUUAAACCCCCCACGCCCUAGGGGCUUCUCCUGAGCUUGGGACCAGCAAGAGGAGAGGUAAGGGAGCCUUCACACCCUCCCCCUCCAUUUCUUUGAUUUUGGUUGGAUUUUUAAGAGAUUAAACCCCUCUUUUGCUCUUUUUUGGUCAUUGGAGGCAUUUCCACCAUUAGAGCUUGGGCUUCGAGCUUGUUGGAGGAGAGAUUCUUGGACCUUGAGGACUUUGAACCUUGUUGGAAGCUUCUAAGAGGUUGGUAGCUUAUUCUCUCCCUCUAGAUUUUGGUUUUGAAGCUUUAUACUAGAUGAAACCCUAGAAUGAGAGUUUAGGGUUGUUUUUGGGGCUUUUUGAUUAGAGGCUUUUGGAACCAAUCUAAUGGGAUUAGAACUUUGUAUUAGGUUCCUUUGAAUGAGAUUUGGCCUCCAUUUGAACCUUGGAGAGGGAUUUUUACUCAUUAGGUGAGUUUUAGCCCUUUUGCUAUAAUUGUUAAUGUUUGAUCUUAUAGUUGAUCGUAAUGCCCGUGUAUCUCUUCGCUCAAUACUUUUAGGGUGAUUUGAGACUCGUGGACAACUUCGUUCGGCGAGACGAGGCACUACGCGACAGUUCGGUGGGUUUUACCUAGCCACACAAUGAGAAAUUCUCAUUUGUGAUGAAUUAAGUAUCGUUAAUUAAAAAAGCAUGCAUAUUCUUGUUAUAUGCAUUUAUUGUGAAUUUUAGAAUGCUUAAAAUGCCUAUGUUACAUAUGAUGAAAUUUUGGACCUCUAUGUAGUAGAGAGUUGCUUGGGAGAUCUAUGGUUGCAUUUAGCAUUCUAUAUGAGACUUGGUUUCAUGCUUCUAUAGUGUAAAUGAGCUUGGAUUCAUGCAUUUAAACCUAAGUUUAUUUGAGACAUGAAAGAUGACAAAAUUGCCAUAUAGGGGUAUCGAACUAGAAUGCAUGUGAAUUAGUGAGCUAAUGUCAUUAAGCGGCAUUGAGCUCGGAUUAUGUGUGAACCUAGUGGUUAGAGCCAUUGCGGGAUUUGGUUUAUGUUGAACAUUAAAUUGCCUAAGUGUCAUCAAGGGGCACUAGGCGUAGUGAGUGUUUGGAACUUCGCUUUGUGACUUAACUAGAUCUUCGGGAUGCUAGUGACGAUACCAUGUUAGAGACAUGAGGUUUGGGUACUUGAGACUUGGACUAUGCUUGCUUGCCAUUUGUGCUCAUUCGCACAUGCUUGUGAGGGUCGCUCCCUACAAGCCGGCACUCCGGAGUUAGCCUACGCGACCUAUGUUCGCUCGUGCGGUAUUGAGAAGCCUACGGGGUCGAGUGGGACAGACACAUUCCAAGAGUAGGAAUGUUGGGCUACCACAGGCACUUAGGCGGCACAAGCUGGACUACCUUUGGUAGGUCCUUAAUUGGAAAUGAAAAUCGACACGGUGUUGAGUUUAUUAUAAUCACUACUAGAUAGAGACUAGUAGUUGGAUUACUUGGACUUGCUUCUAGCAUAGUUUUGGGUACUUGGAUAUACAUACAU
rnacentral:lncRNA from 1 species